AGCAAGCAGUGAUGAUGAUGACAUAGUCAACUUUCCUGAAAACACCUGAUGCUUUUAAGUCACUACCUCAUCUGAGCUUGCG